ensembl:lncRNA
CCCCGUGGUUCUGUGCCUCCAGGAGCCGGGGGGGCGGCGCGGCGGCCAUGUUGGAGUCCGGGGAUCUGCGCUCUUCCCGCUGUGCUCGUCUUCGGCCUCGCCGCCAUCGCUGGCCUCUGCCUGCACUCAGCUGCUCUCAAAAUCAAGUGAAGUUUGAAUAUUUCAAAAACAGCUGAAGAGUCUCUGCACUAUUCCAGUCUGAAGCAUGGAGACAAGCCCCGCCCCUUCGGCCGAGGAGCAACAGGAUUGGUCGAAGUAGACGUCACAUACUCCACAGUGACGACUCGCAAGAACCCAAAAGCGUAACGUGAAUGUAACUUAAUGGAGAUUUUAUAAAGCUAUAUUUUUUUAUUUUUAUGCCUUUCAAACAAAUCAAUUUCUAUUUUUUAACUAUAUUUUUUCUCUUUUUUUCGUACUAAAGCUCAUUUGUUCUGUCAACACUUUGUAUUUUCAUCAUUAAUAGAUCCUUUGACGUAACAAUGCUUUAACUGGUCAUUUAUGAGACGCUUGCUAGCAACAAACACGUCUAUGGUCGUAAAUAAAUGUUUAAAAGUUUGUAAUAGACAAAAUCAUUUUAUUAAUAAAAGCAAAAGUAAAGUGGGAAACAUUUCAACAAUCCGUUUACAACAGUUUAUAGGCUAACGUGAAGUCAUGUGACCGAGGUGGAGUUCCUUUACACUUCAAACGUCAUCAAAGUUCAAUAGUGAAGAAAAUUCUCAUUCGUCACCGGUGUAAAAUCCUCCAAAUCAGAUAUUUAAUGUUUGCAAACAGGUGACACACAAGUCAUGCAGCACAUGCAGCACAUGCACCACAUGCAGCACAUGCACCACAUGCAGCACAUGCACCACGGCUACAUGUCUUCCUCCAGAGCAGGAACAUAAAGAUGCUAAAACAGGCUCUGCAAACAUCAACGCACAAACAUCUUGAUCAUCAGAUGACCCAGAACGCGUGUCCCUCUCAGUGGAGGAGGACAGACUGAUGACUGAGGGGGAACAUUAUGGCAGUUUUUACAACAAUUAUCUUGGAAGAAUCGGAGACGACAGUUUGACUCACACACACGCUGACUGUUCCAAAUAGUCUUUUUGUGGAGGGAACCGCUGUGAUGCUUGAAAAACACACGAUGACGAUCAUCUGAGGGACCGAGGACACGCCCACUUUUGCCGUAUUGGUGGAACAAAUAAGGAGUAACAUCCAGAGACCAUCAGCAGGUUCAGUUGGCAUCGCAGAGGCCAGAUGUGUGCAGCGUCAGCAUCUGGAUCGAGAACGUUAGCGUCCGACUCCGGUGACUCAUUCCUCAAAAACCUUUCAGUUCCCUGAAGGCCUCCUCCUCUGCUCUAGUUUAGACCAAAGCUCACGCUGCAGCUGCAGCAUCGCUCACAAUGUGUCUCGUCUGUUAUUUACUCACAAAGAAGUGUACUCACGAAGAAAACCUCUAACUUGUAUUACUAGUAUCAUGUUUGUGUAUAAUUCAGACCGUGGGAACUUCAAGUAUUAAGCAAUAAGUGCUUCCCUCUUUAUGACCUCAACCGUCCUCCAAGCAGAAGAAACCAAAACCACAACAUCAGACCAGCUUCCUCCAGACAGCUUCACUGCUGAUCCAUCACACCGAAUACGUUCUGAAUCUGAAUAUUUGGCUCUUUGAUUCUGAAUAUCAUUAUUUAAGGAGCGAAUAAUACAUUUUAUUUGAACACAUAUUAUCACCAAAAAAAUUGUGAUUUUUGUCAACUAAAGUGUUGAAGUGUCUUCGCCUUCAGGGUGGAACCCAGUUUCUUUAUAAAACAUUUUCAUUUUUUUAUAGAAUUAAUCGCUUCAAUACACAAAAACAGAUCAACUCACAACACGUGAGGGAAGAACCGGAGGUUGCUGCCUGGUCCAAAGCAAACGUUAUCACGCUAUUCACCUGUGACCCCCGUGUCUAAACGCCUCUAAUCGAGGUGGAGCACUGAAAGAGGGCGUCUGUGUUGUUUGCAGGUCCUUUGGGUUCCUUCAGAAAACAAUACGGGUUUUCAGGGAGCUGUGAC